CCUGCAAAAUUUAUGACACAGUUGUAUAUCAUCGUUUGGUGCUAUACAUAUUAAGAAAAGCUAACGCAAAAUGUUCAAGUUCUUCGUAUUCUUCACCAUUUGCGCCGCCUUGGCCUCGGCCAACAUGGUGCGUGUGCCCAUCUACAAGAA